AGCGAACGCUGGCGGCAGGCUUAACACAUGCAAGUCGAACGCCAUCUUCGGAUGGAGUGGCAGACGGGUGAGUAACGCGUGGGAACGUACCCUUUGGUUCGGAAUAUUCUCGGGAAACUGAGAGCAAUACCGGAUAAGCCCUACGGGGGAAAGAUUUAUCGCCAAAGGAGCGGCCCGCGUCAGAUUAGGUAGUUGGUGGGGUAAAGGCCUACCAAGCCUACGAUCUGUAGCUGGUCUGAGAGGAUGAUCAGCCACACUGGGACUGAGACACGGCCCAGACUCCUACGGGAGGCAGCAGUGGGGAAUAUUGGACAAUGGGCGAAAGCCUGAUCCAGCAAUGCCGCGUGAGUGAUGAAGGCCUUAGGGUUGUAAACUGCUUUUGUACGGAACGAAAAGGUCUGGGUUAAUACCCUGGGCUCAUGACGGUACCGUAAGAAUAAGCACCGGCUAACUACGUG
rnacentral:rRNA from 1 species